GAUGAAGAACGCAGCGAAAUGCGAUACGUAAUGUGAAUUGCAAAUUCAGUGAAUCAUCGAGUCUUUGAACGCACAUUGCGCCCUCUGGUAUCCCGGGGGGCAUGCCUGUCCGAGCGUCAUUGCUGCCCUCAAGCACGGCUUGUGUGUUGGGCCCCGUCCUCCGAUCCCGGGGGACGGGCCCGAAAGGCAGCGGCGGCACCGCGUCCGGUCCUCGAGCGUAUGGGGCUUUGUCACCCGCUCUGUAGGCCCGGCCGGCGCUUGCCGAUCAACCCAAAUUUUUAUCCAGGUUGACCUCGGAUCAGGUAGGGAUACCCGCUGAACUUAAGCAUAUCAAUAAGCGGAGGA
rnacentral:misc_RNA from 1 species